rnacentral:lncRNA from 1 species
CAGCUUCAUGUGGAACCGCCACAGAUAGCAAACGCGGCGACUGGCAGCACACCUUGUCUCAACUCCUAGUAGAGGUGCGGUGCCUCGUGAGUAAAUCUUCCGGUCCCACAAGGUGUAUUCCAAGAAAGGAGAGUCGAACACCUCCUGUGCUUCCUACAAUGGUUCAGAAUUUGAGGAGAUUCGUCAAUAUGCGUCUCGGUGCCACUACCUAAAUGAAGCGAGGCAGCACCUGUUGUGGCCGUGGUUCGACGAAUUUCAGACUGGUUGAUACAGAAAGAUUAUCGCCUCAUACGCAGUUCGCUGAAGGGGGAAAGGGGGGCAAAAACACGCCAAAACGUUAGUCCGGUGAUGUGUUCUCGUCUUUUGUGGGGAGCUGUGCGUGAGCUGUGUGUGGUGAACGGCAGUGUUCCGCGGGUGUGUUGCCAAGAAUCCAGCACGUUGUGUGACCCGUAUGUGGCGCUGGUCUUUACAGUAUAGAAUAGCCAACGAAUCUAGUGCUCGAGCCUGUCAUACUGGGUGGAUCUCAUGAAGAUGGAGGUACACAUAUUACUUGUAGUCAUUCGCUGGAAACGUGGCGGUAAAGAUACUCGUAGGCAGAACCAGAAGAUCAAUACUGAUUUUCAGCGUGUGAUGUCUCCAUUGUUGAUUUCUUGUCGAGAGGACACAUUCGAAGGCCAGUAGGGCUCUCCACAGUGACUUCGGUCACGACAGGUUCAAGAGUACACCACAGGAAAUAGCAUGUCUGGUAGUCUUUGUGUGACAUCAAGUAUUUUAACGUAGACGCGUCGAAACACCACACUCGAAAGCCUAUGACUGAUGCUUUCUCUUUGCAAAGUCUUUUUUGACAGCCAUAAGAAAUAGUUUCGCGUUGGAUUCGGUGAACUGUGUGUGGACACGUCUCGAAUGGACCAAUGCUACAGGUCCAGAGCACGGACGCUGUGGGAGACAAAACGAUGAAGAAGCACGGACCCGCAUUUGACCAGUGACAUAUAUCCCUACACGCAGGGAACAUUGAAUCAAACGACUGCUCACGGUCCUUUCUGAACUGCUUUGUUGAGACAGAAGAGGGGUCGUGCCGAUUUAGCAACAUCUGAUCUCGUUCCGUGUGUCACUCAUUUGUAAAGGAAAUGCAGCGGCUAAAUAGCGGAAGUGGUUGUUACUGAGAACGCCGCUGGAUUUCGGUACCCAGG